rnacentral:rRNA from 1 species
GAUGAACGCUGGCGGCGUGCUUAACACAUGCAAGUCGAACGAUGAAGCCCAGCUUGCUGGGUGGAUUAGUGGCGAACGGGUGAGUAACACGUGAGUAACCUGCCCUUGACUCUGGGAUAAGCCUGGGAAACUGGGUCUAAUACUGGAUAUGACUUCUCAUCGCAUGGUGGGGGGUGGAAAGAUUUAUUGGUCUUGGAUGGACUCGCGGCCUAUCAGCUUGUUGGUGAGGUAAUGGCUCACCAAGGCGACGACGGGUAGCCGGCCUGAGAGGGUGACCGGCCACACUGGGACUGAGACACGGCCCAGACUCCUACGGGAGGCAGCAGUGGGGAAUAUUGCACAAUGGGCGCAAGCCUGAUGCAGCGACGCCGCGUGAGGGAUGACGGCCUUCGGGUUGUAAACCUCUUUCAGUAGGGAAGAGGCGAGAGUGACGGUACCUGCAGAAGAAGCGCCGGCUAACUACGUG